CACCGGGAGGAGGCCUCGGGGAAGACCCAGGACAUGCUGGAGGGACUAUGUUUCUCGGCUGGCCUGGGAACUCCGGGGGUAUUCCAAUACCCCCGGAGGAGCUGUAAGAAGUGGCUGGGGAGAGGGAAGUCUGGGCCUCUGUAACCCACGUUAAAAUCUGACAUAAAUARGAAUAAAUAGUUGAUUAAAAGUCUGGACAGAAAAUAACGUUGCUGCUCCUUUAAGGAACCAGCGUCACUGACGCGGCGCCUGGGUGACGUUGCAGAGCACAAACCUGAGGGAGAGAGCAGAGGAGGAAUCGUAGGAAAAGAGCAGUGAUUAAUUAACGGAAAAAGUUAAUAUUAUAGUUGAGAAAAUAUAAAUUACCUGGUCGGAAACUGACGGGGAUUUUAUGUGAACUAACUUACUUUGGUUUUGGUCAGGUUUUUUUGUUCGGUUGGAAGCUCGGUCGGAGCGAGGAUUGGUGCCAGUGGACAUUCACAGACGGGAUUCAAGAUGGCGAGCCAGACCUAGACCUUCAAUUCAUCUUCUCCAUCGUAUCAAGGAGGGACUCUCCUGCGUGUGGUAAUUCGCUGCCGGAGCGGUAGGAAUAUCRGGAACUAGUUCAAACCGAACUGAACAGGAUUAAGAACUGAUUGAAUUAUUAUUUWUUUCCUCUGGACUGAAUCAAACUGAAGCUUUUCGCUGAACUGAGUACCUGAACUUACAUUUGGAUUUGAACCUGAAUUUAAAGUGCCAUACUUUGAUUUUCAUAUGUUAUGUUUCUGAAUGUGAUUUGAAUAUUUGUGGUCCACUUUGAUUUAA